ensembl:lncRNA
GGAUGACAGAGGAUCCUGGCGUGCUGCAGUCCAUGGGGUAGCAAAGAGUCAGACAUAACUUAGCAACUAAACAACAAGAUGCCUUACAACCUCAUGGUCUCCUCUUGUCUCAGGAUGGCAGCUGCCACUCUGGCUAUCAUGUUAGAAGAGAAGAGGAAGAACCAAGAACCAAAAGUUCCCCAAGCUGAAAAGUCCCAGAGUCAAAAUGGCUGCACUAAGACGAUCUCAUCAGAAUGUCAUGUGUCCAGUUCUUCAACAGGGGCCAGGUUUGACUGCCUCCAGGCCACCAAGAUACACAGACAAGCUGGGAUUCAGUUUGCAAGACCCAGUUUCCAUC